CGGGGCGUGGCGCAGUUGGAUUAGCGCACUCGCUUGGGGUGCGAGAGGCCGCCCGUUCAAUUCGGGUCGCCCCGACCA
rnacentral:tRNA from 1 species